GGAGUUAGCCGGUGCUUCUUCUGUGAGUGAUGUCCUUCCUGCCGGUUAUUGACCCGCAGGCCUUCUUCCUCACUGAAAGUGCUUUACAACCCGAAGGCCUUCUUCACACACGCGGCAUGGCUGGAUCAGGGUUGCCCCCAUUGUCCAAUAUUCCCCACUGCUGCCUCCCGUAGGAGUCUGGGCCGUGUCUCAGUCCCAGUGUGGCUGAUCAUCCUCUCAGACCAGCUACGGAUCGUCGCCUUGGUGAGCCGUUACCUCACCAACCAGCUAAUCCGACAUAGGCUCAUCCGAUAGCGCGAGGCCCGAAGGUCCCCCGCUUUCCCCCGUAGGGCGUAUGCGGUAUUAGCCUGGGUUUCCCCAGGUUAUCCCCCACUACCGGGCAGAUUCCUAUGCAUUACUCACCCGUCCGCCGCUCGCCACCAGGGAGCAAGCUCCCCGUGCUGCCGCUCGACUUGCAUGUGUUAGGCCUGCCGCCAGCGUUCAAUCUGAGCANAUACAACUACUCGA
rnacentral:rRNA from 1 species